rnacentral:rRNA from 1 species
GAUGAACGCUAGCGGGAGGCCUAACACAUGCAAGCCGAGCGGUAGAGUUUCUUCGGAAACUUGAGAGCGGCGCACGGGUGCGUAACACGUGUGCAACCUACCUUUAUCUGGGGGAUAGCCUUUCGAAAGGAAGAUUAAUACCCCAUAAUAUAAUGAUUGGCAUCAAUUAUUAUUGAAAACUCCGGUGGAUAGAGAUGGGCACGCGCAAGAUUAGAUAGUUGGUGAGGUAACGGCUCACCAAGUCAAUGAUCUUUAGGGGUCCUGAGAGGGAGAUCCCCCACACUGGUACUGAGACACGGACCAGACUCCUACGGGAGGCAGCAGUGAGGAAUAUUGAACAAUGGGUGAGAGCCUGAUCCAGCCAUCCCGCGUGAAGGAUGACGGUCCUAUGGAUGGUAAACUUCUUUUGUACAGGGAUAAACCUACCCUCGUGAGGGUAGCUGAAGGUACUGUACGAAUAAGCACCGGCUAACUCCGUG